UAUGUGUGUGUGUGUGUGUGUGUGUGUGUGUGUGUGUGUGUGUGUGUGUGUGUGUGUGUUACAGCUGAUAAAAUGUUAGUGACUGUAAUAAUGGUUACAGCUGAGAAUAAAAGGUUAAUAAAG